CCUACGGGUGGCAGCAGUGGGGAAUAUUGCACAAUGGGCGAAAGCCUGAUGCAGCAACGCCGCGUGAGCGAUGAAGGCCUUCGGGACGUAAAGUUCUGUCCUCAAGGAAGAUAAUGACGGUACCUGAGGAGGAAGCCCCGGCUAACUACGUGCCAGCAGCCGCGGUAAUACGUAGGGGGCUAGCGUUAUCCGGAAUUCCUGGGCGUAAAGGGGGCGUAGGUGGUUUCUAAAGUCAGAGGUGAAAGGCUAGGGCUCAACCCGAGUAUGCCUUUGAAACUGGGGAACUUGAGUGCAGGAGAGGAGAGUGGAAUUCCUAGUGUAGCGGUGAAAUGCGUAGAUAUUAGGAGGAACACCAGUUGCGAAGGCGGCUCUCUGGACUGUAACUGACGCUGAGGCACGAAAGCGUGGGGAGCAAACAGGAUUAGAUACCCCUGUAGUC
rnacentral:rRNA from 1 species